CCAAACCCACGGUAUCUCUGAGGUCUGUCUGUACACAGAUGUGAUUUGUGAUAAUAACACCGCAGAGGACGGGGAGGGAAAGGCACUGUGGGAGAACACGAUCUUUGCGUGCUACGGAAAGUAAAUCGGUAUUCAUCUGAGCUAGCUUCUUAUGUGUUAAGAGGAACCAGAUAUCCUUCAGGAACCAUGGAGGCAGCAAAGAACAAGCCAAAGUCUCCCCCUCAUGGAGCUUUUGUUCUGUUGGGAAAAGAGGCCUGUUUUCUGGAUCUAUCAUCAACCAGUGCCAUUAAGAACAUCAUGCUUCCAUGACCAAAAGCAUAA